rnacentral:piRNA from 1 species
UGUCAGAUAUCCUGGAACUAAUUGCAUGGC